rnacentral:rRNA from 1 species
AACGAACGCUGGCGGCAGGCUUAACACAUGCAAGUCGAACGAUCACUUCGGUGAUAGUGGCGCACGGGUGCGUAACGCGUGGGAAUCUGCCCUUGGGUUCGGAAUAACAGCUGGAAACGGCUGCUAAUACCGGAUGAUGACGUAAGUCCAAAGAUUUAUCGCCCAGGGAUGAGCCCGCGUAGGAUUAGGUAGUUGGUGGGGUAAAGGCCUACCAAGCCUACGAUCCUUAGCUGGUCUGAGAGGAUGAUCAGCCACACUGGGACUGAGACACGGCCCAGACUCCUACGGGAGGCAGCAGUAGGGAAUAUUGGACAAUGGGGGCAACCCUGAUCCAGCAAUGCCGCGUGAGUGAUGAAGGCCUUAGGGUUGUAAAGCUCUUUUACCCGGGAUGAUAAUGACAGUACCGGGAGAAUAAGCCCCGGCUAACUCCGUGCCAGCAGCCGCCGUAA